AUUGAACGCUGGCGGCAUGCCUUACACAUGCAAGUCGAACGGUAACAGGUUAAGCUGACGAGUGGCGAACGGGUGAGUAAUGUAUCGGAACGUGCCCAGUCGUGGGGGAUAACUGCUCGAAAGAGCAGCUAAUACCGCAUACGACCUGAGGGUGAAAGCGGGGGAUCGCAAGACCUCGCGCGAUUGGAGCGGCCGAUAUCAGAUUAGGUAGUUGGUGAGGUAAAGGCUCACCAAGCCGACGAACUGUAGCUGGUCUGAGAGGACGACCAGCCACACUGGGACUGAGACACGGCCCAGACUCCUACGGGAGGCAGCAGUGGGGAAUUUUGGACAAUGGGCGCAAGCCUGAUCUAGCCAUGCCGCGUGCGGGAAGAAGGCCUUCGGGUUGUAAACCGCUUUUGUCAGGGAAGAAAAGGUUCUGGCUAAUACCUGGGACUCAUGACGGUACCUGAAGAAUAAGCACCGGCUAACUACGUG
rnacentral:rRNA from 1 species